CCUACGGGGGACAGCAGUGGGGAAUAUUGCGCAAUGGGCGAAAGCCUGACGCAGCGACGCCGCGUGAGGGAUGAAGGUCUUCGGAUCGUAAACCUCUGUCAGCAGGGAAGAACGGUCACUGUGCUAAUCAGCAUUGAAUUGACGGUACCUGCAAAGGAAGCACCGGCAAACUCCGUGCCAGCAGCCGCGGUAAUACGGAGGGUGCGAGCGUUAAACGGAAUUACUGGGCGGAAAGCGCUCGUAGGCGGUAUGUCAAGUCAAGGGUGAAAUCCCCGCGCUCAACGUGUGAACUGACUUGGAAACUGGCAAAAUGGAGUGUGUGAGAGGAUAGUGGAAUUCCAGGUGUAGGAGUGAAAUCCGUAGAUAUCUGGAGGAACAUCAGUGGCGAAGGCGACUAUCUGGCACAUAACUGACGCUGAGGAGCGAAAGCGUGGGUAGCAAACAGGAUUAGAUACCCUAGUAGUC
rnacentral:rRNA from 1 species